rnacentral:tRNA from 1 species
GGCCCCAUCGUCUAGUGGCUUAGGACGCCGGGUUCUCAUCUCGGUAACAGGGGUUCAACUCCCCUUGGGGUCAC